rnacentral:rRNA from 1 species
AGCGUAGACGGAUGGACAAGUCUGAUGUGAAAGGCUGGGGCUCAACCCCGGGACUGCAUUGGAAACUGCCCGUCUUGAGUGCCGGAGAGGUAAGCGGAAUUCCUAGUGUAGCGGUGAAAUGCGUAGAUAUUAGGAGGAACACCAGUGGCGAAGGCGGCUUACUGGACGGUAACUGACGUUGAGGCUCGAAGGCGUGGGGAGCAAACA